rnacentral:lncRNA from 1 species
GUAAAUAAAUGCUCAAAUAUGGUAGUGCUGCUACAAUAUUUAGGUGGUUACCAUGGCAACCUAAUGCGUAGAUACAGAUUUUCCUAAGUUUGCUUCAGGUUUUUGCGCAAUUUAAAAGUUUUUAUUUUUUCAGGUGAACAUUUCACAGUGACUUGAGUCCCUGUGCUGUUAGGACGCUCUCAUCCCCGCAGGUCACAUGGUCUCACAUAGGGGGCGCUAACGCUGUGCUGCUGCUCUGCAGGUGCUGCUUCUUCCAUCAUUGCUGCCUGAAGCAGAUCAGCUCCAUGGGCUGCAGAGUGGAGAGGAGCCUGAGCGCUCACGUGACCUGUGAGGAGCACAAACCCCGCUGUGAGUCUGACGCUACACACCAGCAACAGUAACACAAAGCUGCUGCAUGACACUCUGCUGCCCCCCACAGGUCAGGGUGCCACCCUGUGUGACAAGCUGCAGUGUGUGUGCGACAAAACCACAGCUGAGUGCAUGGCGGCGGCUCACUUCCACCACAGGGCGACCCCGCAGCAGUGCCGGGGGCCCAGCCCCCCCUGCCGUCGGCCCAGCAGACCCCCCAAAGCUGUGCAGGAAACCCCAGAGUCCAGCGAGGAGCAGCAGAGUGCCAAGCUGGAUGAACCCACAAGUCCACCUGUGCAGCCCCACAGUGAUGAGAGCUCAGAGGAAGUUGAAUUGCGGGAUGAGGAAACUCCUCCUCUUUCCAGCGAGGAAAGCGGGGAACUGCCGGGUCCAGACGGGAUUCAGACCCACAACCAAAGACCAGCAGAGGAGGAGGAGGAGGAAGAAGAGGAGGAGGAAGGAGAAGAGGAGGAGGAAGAAUACUAGUCUCCAGGCUUUCAGCAGCUGUGAGAUUUGGAGCGGUUGA